GCCAGUAGGGAAUCUUCCGCAAUGGACGAAAGUCUGACGGAGCAACGCCGCGUGAGUGAUGAAGGUUUUCGGAUCGUAAAGCUCUGUUGUUAGGGAAGAACAAGUACCGUUCGAAUAGGGCGGUACCUUGACGGUACCUAACCAGAAAGCCACGGCUAACUACGUGCCAGCAGCCGCGGUAAUACGUAGGUGGCAAGCGUUGUCCGGAAUUAUUGGGCGUAAAGCGCGCGCAGGCGGUCUCUUAAGUCUGAUGUGAAAGCCCACGGCUCAACCGUGGAGGGUCAUUGGAAACUGGGGGACUUGAGUGCAGAAGAGGAAAGUGGAAUUCCACGUGUAGCGGUGAAAUGCGUAGAUAUGUGGAGGAACACCAGUGGCGAAGGCGACUUUCUGGUCUGUAACUGACGCUGAGGCGCGAAAGCGUGGGGAGCAAACAGGAUUCAGAUAC
rnacentral:rRNA from 1 species